UAGUUCUUGGUCUCAAUGCUUGGAAGAAUGAAGAAGUAGACCAGACAGAGUGGAUAAAGAUCCAAGUCCUCAACCCUGCUUCAAGGUCCUACGGUCCAGCCUCUUUCCCAUCUCAGCCUUCUGGUAUACCACAUUCAUCUGCUAUCCACCCCACAGCUGUAAGUACUACCUUUUAAUUGCUCCAAAGUACAUCUACUCUGUCACAGGGCAUUUGUACAUGCUAUCCGCACCCCCCCCUU
rnacentral:lncRNA from 1 species